ACCUCAACAACCAGGGUAUCCCUUGCUGAUCUUGUCUGAUUUCAGAAGGAAAGCACAAUUGGGCCUGGCUAUAACUGGAAUAGGAGACCACCUUGGAAGAGCAGGUGUUAUAGGCU
rnacentral:rRNA from 1 species